CCUACGGGUGACAGCAGUCGAGAAUCAUUCACAAUGGGGGAAACCCUGAUGGGGCGACGCCGCGUGGGGGAAGGAAGGUCUCCGGAUGGUAAACCCCUGUAAUGGGGGAGCAAAGUAAAAAGAGAGAACCACAAGAGGAAGAGACGGCUAACUCAGGGACAGCAGCCGCGGUAAGACAGAGUUCGCAAGCGUUGAUCGGAAUCACUGGGCGUAAAGGGGGCGUAGGCUGUUUCGUAAGUCGUGUGUGAAAGGCGCGGGCUCAACCCGCGGACGGCCCUUGAAACUGGGAGCCUAGAGUAAUGCAGGGGGUACCGGACUUCUCGGUGUAGCCGUGAAAUCCGUAGAUCUCUGGAGGAACACUCGUGGCGAAGGCGGGUUCCUGGACCUUACCUGACGCUGAGGCACG
rnacentral:rRNA from 1 species